CCAAAAUGUAAUGACCUGGACUUAUAAAAAACUCCACACACUUUUGGCUUAAAUUCAAUACGAGGCACGCGUUAAACAUAGCUAUUAUGGAAGUUUAACCUGAGAAUAAUUUAUAUUUAGCUGUAUAGGAAUUUAGGUUAUUAGUAUGUGUUGUGUAUGAAAGAUCUGGCGCAUUUGUUCAUUUUAUUUUAUGGGUAUCAAACCCACGUUAAAUUGUUAUUCACAUUCCGAUAAAAAUACUGUUCCUGUUUAUUAUUUAUAAUAACGUUAAAUCCAAUGAAAAACCAUAUAGUCAUAUCGAUUCAAUUUUAAUCUUUACCGCGAGAAAAUUCAGUUUUGUCUACGACAUCAUCUUGUUUUUCAUUUCUUACGCACGAUAGUACUACAGGUAGUGUGUACUGUUAUGUCAUUCAAGGCUAUUACCUAACAACUUUUAUAUAUUGGCACUGUUGCAAAUAUUGUAUGUUGUUUUCUGUUUGUUUGUGAUCUUGAACAUUCGGUAAAUACACGUUACAGGCGCUAUACAACAAUUAUGUUUACAGUAAUAAGUUUCAUUGUUUUGAUUUGUUUAAGCGGAUUACAAUGUUCGGAUCUGGUAAUUGAAGGGAAGGCACAUGUUCAGACUGGAAGUACAUUAUCUUUAACAUGCAAUGGUACUGCCUUACAGUCACAACCGGCGAAUCUUGACUGGUUUAAAGAUGAGGAGAAACUGAUUCCGAAUGAAAGAAUACAUAUAAACGUUUAAACAAAAGUUAUGGAUCGAUCUGUUCGGACCAUAUCAAGUACAUUAACCAUCAAUGAUAUGGACAAACAAAACGAGGGACAAUACAAAUGCUGGAUUUCCAAUACCAGAAUAAAUAUAUUACCGUACAUGUCAGCGGAGACAUGAAAUCAGGGGCUGAUAUGAAGAAUUUUAUGACAACGUCAACAGCUGCAUUGACCCUGGCUGUGAUUGCGUUCUGAGAGAGAGAGAGAGAGAGAGAGAGGCUUUCCGACUAAGUAAACUUAGUUUUCGUAGAGCAUCGACACACAUGAAACCUUCUUCCUUGUGAACUACUUGUACUGGCCUCACAGUUGGGUGGGCGACAUUCAAGCGUAUAACAGUAAUUUCUGGUUCUUGGACCGGAAGUCCAACCCUGAUCCCUUUAUUGACACUCAAGUGUGCUUAACUAGCCGUAAUAAGACAUUCCUACGCAAUAAAGAAAUGUUUAGAUUUUUUUUCCCACCGUAACAUUUGUAGUGAUGCAAACGAUAGGCCACACGCUGUAAUACAUGUGGUGUUAAAACGCUUUUUGUAUCGUUACUAUACUACUUCUGUAUCUGAAAUGUUUGAUUUAAAUUGUGGAAAGUUAGAUUAUUUUGUCUUUUUAUUUGUAGUACAGUUUACAUGUUAACUGUCAUUGCUAUGAAGAUAAAAUAUGCUUGUUGUAGCAAAGAAAUUAAUUUACAAAGAAUGUAAUUCAUGGAAAAGUAUCUACCUUUGCAGAUAGGCGUAUUCUCGCCAAAGUGUCAUUAGCAAAAGGUAUACUGUAAUUAUCUGAGUUCUUGUAAACAUUGAAUUGGAAGCAAGCAAAUAAAUCGACAAUCUAAAUAGCAAGUACACCUACUUCUUUGGCAGCACUGCAAAUCUCUGCAUUUUUUAUUGUUGAUUGAAUCAUCUGUAAACAUAUCACUGAGACUGCGAGAAAACGAAAAGGAGUUAGACGAACAAGCUAUGAAGUACCUAAUUAUUUUGAUUUGCAUUAUUGGAGUUAGCUCUUGGGACAUAAAAAUCAAAGGACCGUCGAGUGUACAAAUCGGAAGCACUCUGUCUUUAUCGUGCAAUGCAACUGAUAUGGUAUCUCCACCAAGAAUAGUUGUUUGGUACAAAGGUUAUAGCAAACUUGCUUUAAGUGAGAGGGUAUCUGCAACAAUGUUAUGGUCACCAAAGACCAUAACAAGCAAACUGACCAUAAAGGAUGUAGUUAGACAAGAUGCAGGGAAGUACAAGUGUUGGGUCUCUAACGAGAUCGUUAGUCAGGUCACGGUGGCAGUCGUAGAUACUGCAAAAGCAGGUGGCGAGUCUACACAGAUUCAGGGAAUAUCACCAUUUACAUCUUUAGUAUUUUUAUCAUGCUUUUUGAAGAUAUUGGGUUAAAACUAGCAAGUCGAUUAGGCUUGUUACUUUAAAAUCAAAUUUAUAUUAAUUCUGGUUAUUUAAGCAAACGUCAUUAUAUCACCUACGCAAGAACUGUCUUUUAAGAUAAGUUUUGAAGCUAGAACGGUAGUGUGCUUUUCUGUUUACAGUACCUGUCAUACAUCCCUGACGAAGGAAAUACUUGGAUAUCUUAUACACUUAUGAACAGUUGUUUCUCGCAUCAGACUUUAACAUUUACAACGUUGUUGUAUCAUGUGUCUUGGCUACAGUGUUACUAAAAUUAGGUGUACCUAAUGAAGAAAGUAAAAAAAACAAACAUCAAACUUGAAGACAAACAAACGAUCUUGAGCUGUAAGUCUGUAAGUUAUUGAAAGGUACUCAUCAAUAUUGUCGUUAACGUCGGAAUAUCCAUUUUGCAAGAAUUUGGGUACUUGAUGUCAUCCGUCUGUCAACGCUAUCAUUAUGUGUAUAAAUACGAAUGUUUACAACUUUGGUCAAGGCAUUGAAAACAUUUGGCAAAUAAAUAACAAUAGAUAUGAAA
rnacentral:misc_RNA from 1 species